GGAUCAUGGUGCCGAGCAGCUCAGCAAGGAUGGCGCACCAGAAUUGCCGACUGCGUAGCUCCAUGGAGAAAGGAGACAUAAACAAAGAAGAGGGAACCUUAGGGAUAGGAAGGAACAUCAUCUUCCCUGGCUGAAUCUACAAUAGGAAUCUCAUGAAAUCUAGAGACCAACUAUUUUGACGAUGGAGAGCUCGUCUGAGGACGACCUAGAGAGAGAGAACUAUUAAAGCCAUGAAAUCCGGACUAUCCACUGAUAGACAGAAAUUCACUCAUGCUCGUAACAAGGUAACCCAAACAAUAAGACAGGCCAAAGCAAACUUUUUCAUCAAUAUAAUUGAAGGUGCGAAAGGUAACAGUAAAAACGUUUGGCAAAUCCUAAAUAAACUAUUAGGUAAACAAACCAAACAGGAAAAUAAUGUACUAGAAUUAAUAAUCAAUGAUUCCCUGAUAAAAGACCCUGCCGUGUUGGCCAGCUCACUCAAUGAGUAUUUCUUAAAUAAUGCUUUGGACAUUGCAAAGCUCUUCCCGCCAUCUGAGGUCUCACCUAGCCCGACUGUGGAUACACACCCCGUUUUUGACCUGGAGGAAAUCACAGAGGUUGAGGUAAAAAAUAUAAUCUUAGGGUUAAGAGGUUCUAAGGCUAGGGAUCCGUAUGAUUUAGACACCAACUUUAUAAAGACACAUAUCGACGGUCUAAUAAAAUCAAUUAGUAUGCUAGUAAAUCAAUCUAUCAGCACGAGGGAAGUUCCAUCAUCCUGG